rfam:Triticum aestivum genome assembly, contig: Triticum_aestivum_CS42_TGACv1_scaffold_062733_1DL
AUUUUACUCCCUCCGUCUCAAAAUUCUUGUCUUAGAUUUGUCUACAUGCGGAUGUAUCAAGUCACGUUUUAGUAUGUAUCUAGACAAAUCUAAGAUAAGAAUUUUGGGACGGAGGGAGUAUUUG